CGAGGAGAGCUGCUGCGACGCGUCCUUUUCUCCUCUCUUCCGCCCAUCCCCCUUACGGGUUUGGAGUCUAUAUCGAUUUUAACUGUGUUCUCCCGUAAUUUUCCCAUUAGGAGACACUAGCGGAGCCGAACAUGGAAGCGCUGCCCUACGAACUUCUCAUCCGCGCGAGGAGCCUGCUUCCCAACAGUGGCGGGGCCAAUCAUGGAAACGCUGCCCUACAACCUUCUGUUCCAUUCGAUUGUACAUGCAGAUGUAGGUAUUGGGAAAUGCGGCAAAAGUUAUAUGAUCUGGAUUUCAAUGUUGUUGCCGUGAGGGAAACACAAUGGAGGUAUGUGUGCCAGCCAAUCGUACAGGUCAGUUCAAA